rnacentral:rRNA from 1 species
GAUGAACGCUGGCGGCGUGCCUAAUACAUGCAAGUCGAACGAAACUUCUUUAUCACCGAGUGCUUGCACUCACCGAUAAAGAGUUGAGUGGCGAACGGGUGAGUAACACGUGGGCAACCUGCCCAAAAGAGGGGGAUAACACUUGGAAACAGGUGCUAAUACCGCAUAACCAUAGUUACCGCAUGGUAACUAUGUAAAAGGUGGCUAUACUACCGCUUUUGGAUGGGCCCGCGGCGCAUUAGCUAGUUGGUAGGGUAAAGGCUUACCAAGGCAAUGAUGCGUAGCCGAAUUGAGAGGUUGAUCGGUCACAUUGGGACUGAGACACGGCCCAAACUCCUACGGGAGGCAGCAGUAGGGAAUCUUCCACAAAGGGCGAAAGCCUGAUGGAGCAACGCCGCGUGGGUGAAGAAGGUCUUCGGAUCGUAAAACCCUGUUGUUAGAGAAGAAAGUGCGUGAGAGUAACUGUUCACGUUUCGACGGUAUCUAACCAGAAAGCCACGGCUAACUACGUG